rnacentral:rRNA from 1 species
AACGAACGCUGGCGGCAGGCUUAACACAUGCAAGUCGAACGCGUGUAGCAAUACACGAGUGGCGCACGGGUGAGUAACGCGUGGAUAUCUGCCUUUUGGUUCGGAAUAACUCCGGGAAACUGGAGCUAAUACCGGAUGGUUCCUUCGGGAUAAAGAUUUAUCGCCAAAAGAUGAGUCCGCGUACGAUUAGCUAGUUGGUGAGGUAAUGGCUCACCAAGGCGACGACCGUUAGCUGGUCUGAGAGGACGAUCAGCCACACUGGGACUGAGACACGGCCCAGUCUCCUACGGGAGGCAGCAGUGGGGAAUAUUGGACAAUGGGGGCAACCCUGAUCCAGCCAUGCCGCGUGAGUGAUGAAGGCCUUCGGGUUGUAAAGCUCUUUUGGCGGGGACGAUGAUGACGGUACCCGCAGAAUAAGCCCCGGCUAACUUCGUGCCAGCCGCCGCGGUAA